AGUGAACGCUGGCGGUAGGCCUAACACAUGCAAGUCGAACGGCAGCACAGUAAGAGCUUGCUCUUACGGGUGGCGAGUGGCGGACGAGUGAGGAAUACAUCGGAAUCUACUUUUUCGUGGGGGAUAACGUAGGGAAACUUACGCUAAUACCGCAUACGACCUACGGGUGAAAGCAGGGGAUCUUCGGACCUUGCGCGAUUGAAUGAGCCGAUGUCGGAUUAGCUAGUUGGCGGGGUAAAGGCCCACCAAGGCGACGAUCCGUAGCUGGCCUGAGAGGAUGAUCAGCCACACUGGAACUGAGACACGGUCCAGACUCCUACGGGAGGCAGCAGUGGGGAAUAUUGGACAAUGGGCGCAAGCCUGAUCCAGCCAUACCGCGUGGGUGAAGAAGGCCUUCGGGUUGUAAAGCCCUUUUGUUGGGAAAGAAAAGCAGCAGGUUAAUACCCCGCUGUUCUGACGGUACCCAAAGAAUAAGCACCGGCUAACUUCGUG
rnacentral:rRNA from 1 species